UACGUAGGCAGCGAGCGUUGUUCGGAGUUACUGGGCGUAAAGAGCGCGUAGGCGGCUCGGUAAGUGUGAAGCUAAAUCUCUGGGCUCAACCCAGAAACUAUUUCGCAUACUGCCAAGCUGGAGUGAUGAAGAGGUUUGUGGAAUUCCUGGUGUAGCGGUGAAAUGCGUUGAUAUCAGGAGGAACACCCAUGGCGAAGGCAGCAAACUGGUCAUCAACUGACGCUGAGGCGCGAAAGCGUGGGUAGCAAACAGG
rnacentral:rRNA from 1 species